GACGAACGCUGGCGGCGUGCUUAACACAUGCAAGUCGAACGGAAAGGCCCUGCUUUUGUGGGGUGCUCGAGUGGCGAACGGGUGAGUAACACGUGAGUAACCUGCCCUUGACUGUGUGAUAACUUCAGGAAACUGGGGCUAAUACCGGAUAGGAUCUCCUGCUGCAUGGUGGUGGUUGGAAAAUUUCGGCGGUUGGGGAUGGACUCGAGGGUUAUCAGCUUGUUGGUGGGGUAGUGGCUUACCAAGGCUUUGACGGGUAGCCGGCCUGAGAGGGUGACCGGCCACAUUGGGACUGAGAUACGGACCAGACUCCUACGGGAGGCAGCAGUGGGGAAUAUUGCACAAUGGGCGGAAGCCUGAUGCAGAAACGCCGCGUGCGGGAUAACGGCCUUCGGGUUGUAAACAGAUUUCGACUGUGACGAAGCGUGAGUGACGGUAAUGGGUAAAGAAGCACCGGCUAACUACGUG
rnacentral:rRNA from 1 species